rnacentral:lncRNA from 1 species
AGAGAAGAAGUUAACUAGUAUUUCUGACAAACAGAUUAAUUGUGUGGUGAAACAUGUGCAGGAUCCAAAAAUAAUCCUACAGAACCUUUGAUAUUCCAUUUGGUUUAAAAAGUGUGAAGUGAAUGAUUAGAAUGAUAAAAGAAAUUACCAUGUAAGAAUAGGCAUAAUAAUGAACUAAUUAAACCAUACAGCAAUUCAUUUCUAAAAUAUCUACUGCACAAUGGAUAAAAUAGGUUAUCAAUAACUGUUUCAAUGGUAAAAUAAAAAAUGCUAUAAAAUGUUUGCAAUAUUUUCAUUAAGCAGUAUUCUCUGGAAUUAUAAGAUGUUUGAUUUCAUUUGUUUCACAUGAAAGAAAACCACCUUGUUUAGAAAUUUAUCGGAUCCCAUUGAGACUUUCAUUGUCCCUGAGCGUCCAUCAAAACCUCCCUACUGGCUGCUGGAGGUUUAGGAAUGGAUGUGCAGAAGGUAUUACAGAUUUUUUAAAAGGUGCAUGUUGGCUAUAAAGAAAUAUGAAGCUCAUAGCAGUAAAUGGGAAUGGACAGUUAAGAAGUGCAGUAGCACUUGGUAAGGGAAACUAAAAGUAAAAAUAAAUAAAAAUGUGUGUGGAUAUUAGGGUUUCAGAGAACAGGGUAAAUUCAGUAGAUCUGGCAAGUUUAACACUUGGUAUCUUGCUAAUACUGGAUAAAAAAAAUGGAUAAAAAGGUAUCAGCUAUAGUAGGUAGGACUGAAUACUCUUCUACUCUGUUCUCAGAAAAAAGCAUUAUGGGUUUUAUAAGUAUUUUCCAGUGAUGCAGUUCAGCCAUUAAGUAGUGAGACUGUUAUGCUGUAGCCCA